rnacentral:lncRNA from 1 species
UCGCGGGCGGAGGGCGGGGGGUCGGCCUUGUUUCUGCCUGGCUCGGGGCUGCACGGCGGGCUCUCCUUGUCCCUCCAAGGCCUCUUCGCUCAUCCUAAGCCUAGUGACUGAACACCCCGGGCAGCUGGGUUUCAGCGGCGCCCCUCGGGGGUGGCCACGCCCAGGCUCCAGAAAAUGUGAGCACGAAAGCUGGGAACGUGACCCUCCGCUGGGCGCUGGGCGACGGGCAGCGCCAACCUCUUCAGUAUUUGGAGCUGCCCUGCCCGUUAGCUCGUCCUAUGCUCGCGUGCCCACGACUGAAGGGCGAACAGGCAGCCGGGAAGGCAUGUGGAAUGGGGAGAACCAAGAAAGAAGCAAUAUCCCACCUGUGGGCCGGCCAGUGUGCAGACCAGAGAGGACCAGGAAGGAAGCUCAGCCCCCACCUGUGGGCCAGCUGGAGUGCGGAAUGAGGAGAAACAGGAUGGAAGAAAUAUGCCUGCCUGUGAGCCAACUGGAACAUGGGCCGGGGAGAAUCAGGAAAGCAGCUAUGCUCUCACCUCUGAGCUAGCCAGCAGGAGGACCACAAAGAAUCAGGAAGGAAGCUCAGCCCCCACCAGUGAGCCAGUUGGCAUAUGGACCCGGGAGAGAUGAAUAGCUACCCUGAUCCCCUCUAAGCAGCCAGCUGUUUUAGAGGAACUGUAUCAUUUGACCCGACUUUGCAAACCUAAAGCCAGUAGUCUGAGCAAGUACUUAGAGGAUAACAGUGUGCAACAUAGUAACUAUUAUAGAUUUCCUACUGUCUUAUCACUGUUUCAUUACAUUUCAUUGUUCUGUUUUAUUCCCUUUAAAAUAAAAAUUUUUAAAAAGAUU